UUUCCAUUGCAUAGGGUGGCUCAUCUAACUUGGUUCUAACUUCUCUUAGCUCUACCUUCAGGAUAUAGCUUAUUGAAUUAGCUCAAGGAUCCACUUGAGUCUGACUUGAUUAGCAUAUGGCUCACUGGGACUCAAACCACCAUUCUUUCAGGUCUUGGAUAUACCAUUGCUAGGCGUCGCUGCUUUAAUACCAUGUUAUGCAUAAAUUCUGUGUAUUUUCUAUCUAUAUACACACACACACUUUGUCUCUAACUAAAUAGGAA
rnacentral:misc_RNA from 1 species